rnacentral:rRNA from 1 species
CAGCCUGAUCCAGCCAUGCCGCGUGAGUGAUGAAGGCCUUAGGGUCGUAAAGCUCUUUCGCCUGUGAAGAUAAUGACUGUAGCAGGUAAAGAAACCCCGGCUAACUCCGUGCCAGCAGCCGCGGUAAUACGGAGGGGGUUAGCGUUGUUCGGAAUUACUGGGCGUAAAGCGCACGUAGGCGGAUCAGAAAGUUGGGGGUGAAAUCCCAGGGCUCAACCCUGGAACUGCCUCCAAAACUCCUGGUCUUGAGUUCGAGAGAGGUGAGUGGAAUUCCGAGUGUAGAGGUGAAAUUCGUAGAUAUUCGGAGGAACACCAGUGGCGAAGGCGGCUCACUGGCUCGAUACUGACGCUGAGGUGCGAAAGUGUGGGGAGCAAACAGGAUUAGAUACCCUGGUAGUCCACACCGUAAACGAUGAAUGCCAGUCGUCGGGUAGUAUACUAUUCGGUGACACACCUAACGGAUUAAGCAUUCCGCCUGGGGAGUACGGUCGCAAGAUUAAAACUCA